rnacentral:pre_miRNA from 1 species
ACAACAUUUAGGCCGUCGGUCUUCGGAGCAAUUUCACUCUCUCAGUGGAAGAUCUUCCCGCUAUCGU